AUGAAGACCUUCCUCGUCUUUGCCCUUCUAGCCGUUGUGGCGACAUGUGCCAUUGCGCAGAUGGAGACUAGGUGCAUCCCUGGUUUGGAGAGACCAUGGCAGCAACAACCAUUACAACCACAACAGAUAUUUCCACAACAACCACCAUUUUCACAACAACAACAACAACAACCAUUUCCUCAACAACCACCAUUUUUAGCACCAACCAUCAUUUUCGCAGCAACUACUAUUUUCACAACAACAACGACAACCACUUCUACCGCAACAACCAGCAUUUUCGUAGCAACAACAAACAGUUCUACCGCAACAACCAGCAUUUUCUCAACAACAACACCAACAACUUCUGCACCAACAAAUCCCUAUUGUUCAUCCAUCCGUUUUGCAGCAGCUAAACCCAUGCAAGGUAUUCCUCCAGCAGCAAUGUAGCCCUGUGGCAAUGCCACAACGUCUUGCUAGGUCGCAGAUGUGGCAGCAGAGCAGUUGCCAUGUGAUGCGGCAACAAUGUUGCCAACAAUUGCCGCGAAUCCCUGAACAAUCCCGCUAUGUGGCAAUCCGUGCUAUCAUCUUGUCCAUCAUCCUGCAAGAACAACAAUAGGGUUUUGUCCAACCUCAGCAGCAACAACCCCAACAGUCGGUUCAAGGUGUCUACCAACCCCAACAGCAGUCGCAGCAGCAGCUCGGACAAUGUUCUUUCCAACAACCUCAACAACAACUGGGUCAACAGCCUCAACAACAACAUGUACAAUAGGGUACUUGCAGCCACACCAGAUAGCUCGCCUCGAGGUGAUGACUUCCAUUGCCCUCAGUACCCUGCCAACGAUGUGCAGUGUUAAUGUGCCGUUGUACAGCUCCAUCACUAGUGUGCCAUUCGGUGUUGGCAGCGGAGUUGGUGCCUACUGAUAA
rnacentral:rRNA from 1 species